rnacentral:rRNA from 1 species
GAUGAACGCUGGCGGCGUGCUUAACACAUGCAAGUCGAACGGAAAGGCCCUGCUUUUGUGGGGUGCUCGAGUGGCGAACGGGUGAGUAACACGUGAGUAACCUGCCCCUCACUUCGGGAUAACUUCAGGAAACUGGGGCUAAUACCGGAUAGGAGCUCCGGCUGCAUGCUGUGGGUUGGAGUGUUUUGGCGGUGGGGGAUGGACUCGCGGCUUAUCAGCUUGUUGGUGGGGUAGUGGCUUACCAAGGCGUUGACGGGUAGCCGGCCUGAGAGGGUGAACGGCCACAUUGGGACUGAGAUACGGCCCAGACUCCUACGGGAGGCAGCAGUGGGGAAUAUUGCACAAUGGGCGGAAGCCUGAUGCAGCAACGCCGCGUGGGGGAUGACGGCCUUCGGGUUGUAAACCGCUUUCGCCUGGGACGAAGCGUGAGUGACGGGAAUGGGUAGAGGAGCACCGGCUAACUACGUG